rnacentral:rRNA from 1 species
GAUGAACGCUAGCGGCAGGCUUAACACAUGCAAGUCGAGGGGCAGCACGGGUAGCAAUACCUGGUGGCGACCGGCGCAAGGGUGCGUAACGCGUGAGCAACAUGCCCUAUACAGGGGGAUAAUCCAGGGAAACUUGGUCUAAUAUCCCAUAGUAUUUAGAGGAGGCAUCUUCUAUAAAUUAAAGCUUCGGUGGUAUAGGAUUGGCUCGCGUGACAUUAGCUAGAUGGUGAGGUAACGGCUCACCAUGGCAAUGAUGUCUAGGGGUUCUGAGAGGAAGGCCCCCCACACUGGGACUGAGACACGGCCCAGACUCCUACGGGAGGCAGCAGUGAGGAAUAUUGGACAAUGGAUGGAAAUCUGAUCCAGCCAUGCCGCGUGCAGGAAGACAGCCCUAUGGGUUGUAAACUGCUUUUAAUGGGAGCAAUAAGGUCUACGGUGUAGACUGAUGAGAGUACCAUAUGAAUAAGC